rnacentral:sRNA from 1 species
UCAUAGCCCUGAUUGCAGCGACAUCCUUUUUCCGGAAUGGCUUUAAAAAGUGGCUGUAGAAAAAGAUACAGCGGAAAGCAGGAAUAGCU